UUCAUGGAGAGUUUGAUCCUGGCUCAGGACGAACGCUGGCGGCGUGCUUAACACAUGCAAGUCGAACGGAAAGGCCCAGCUUGCUGGGUACUCGAGUGGCGAACGGGUGAGUAACACGUGGGUGAUCUGCCCUGCACUCUGGGAUAAGCCUGGGAAACUGGGUCUAAUACCGGAUAUGACCAACUGUCGCAUGGUGGUUGGUGGAAAGCUUUUGCGGUGUGGGAUGGGCCCGCGGCCUAUCAGCUUGUUGGUGGGGUAAUGGCCUACCAAGGCGACGACGGGUAGCCGACCUGAGAGGGUGAUCGGCCACACUGGGACUGAGACACGGCCCAGACUCCUACGGGAGGCAGCAGUGGGGAAUAUUGCACAAUGGGCGCAAGCCUGAUGCAGCGACGCCGCGUGAGGGAUGACGGCCUUCGGGUUGUAAACCUCUUUCACCAGGGACGAAGCGUGAGUGACGGUACCUGGAGAAGAAGCACCGGCCAACUACGUGCCAGCAGCCGCGGUAAUACGUAGGGUGCGAGCGUUGUCCGGAAUUACUGGGCGUAAAGAGCUCGUAGGCGG
rnacentral:rRNA from 1 species